CAUUUUGUCUUUCUACUCUCACAGAAAGAGAGAGAAAGGAAGAAGCAGAGAGACAUAAAGGGAGAGAGAAAGAGAAGACAGAGAGAGUUCUUGAGAGAGAGAGAGAGAGAGAAGGACCGUUAAUUUCCGUUAAUAUAUGAAGCAAUUUUGAGAGCUACAAGAAGCUAAAAUGGUUACAGACCAAGAGCUUUCUCAAGCUAUACAAUGUCUUCUUCGCGACUCUGCUUCUCCUACAAACCCUAACCCUUUUUCUUCUUUAAACGCUGUUGUUCAGGAGUUGCAGACCAAGCUUGGUCUUGACCUCUCUCAUAAACUCGAUUUCAUCCAUGCCCAGAUCCAAUUUAUCCUUCGUUCUCAUCCUCAACAACCCCAUCAUCACCAACAUCACCACCACCACCACCAUCAGCAGCAGCAGCAGCAACAACAACUACCCUCUUCGCAGAAAGACCUCUUUGCCCUUCAUCAAAGCCCUAAUUUUCAAUCUGCGCCUUCCCCCACUUCCUCUGCAUUUCACACUUUCACUGCUCAGCCUCCGACGGCUAAGGCGGAUUCCGUCGUUGCUCCCACUGUUCCGGGCUCUGACCCGCCAAAGGAAAGUACCCAAACCAAAACUAAGAGAAGAGGAGGCCCCGGGGGUCUAAACAAGCUUUGUGGUGUUUCUCCUGAACUUCAGGCUAUUGUUGGCCAACCAGAAUUACCGCGAACUGAGAUAGUGAAACAGCUAUGGGCAUACAUCAGAAAAAACAACCUACAGGAUCCAAGUAACAAGAGGAAAAUAAUAUGCAAUGAUGAGUUGCGGUUGGUAUUUGAAACAGACUGCACUGACAUGUUCAAAAUGAAUAAGUUGCUAGCCAAACACAUCAUUCCUCUUGAACCUACAAAACCAUCAAGUUCUAAGAAGGCACGAGUGGAGAAUGAAUCUGCAGUUAGUGUUAAAAGUGCAGAACCCAGUAUUUGUCCUUCUGUGAUUAUAUCUGAAGCACUAGCAAAUUUUUUUGGCGUCGAUGGUAGGGAGAUGCUCCAAUCAGAAGUUCUGAGACGCAUCUGGGAAUACAUAAAAGUGAAUCAUCUUGAGGACCCUCUGAACCCGAUGGCAGUGUUGUGCGACGCAAAACUUCGAGAACUGUUUGGUUGUGAAAGCAUUUCUGCACUGGGAAUCCCAGAAGUUUUAGGCCGCCACCAUAUAUUUAGGAGAUCAUGAUAGCUAUUCUUCUAGGAUGUGUUGGAGGCUGCUGAUACCUGUUAUCACUUGUCCUAGUUGGAAAUUUAUGAUGCAGCAUGCAGGACAGCUUUGCAGAUCGAAUGGUGUUAGCGACUUACAUAUCGGGACAGUGUUUGGAAAAGUCUAUAUGGUUUUUUCUCCCCCUUCUCUUAAUGUUGUAAUCAGUGAUGAUAAUAUUUUACUUUUGGAUCUUAUGCUAAGGUAAGGUGUGAACUUGGGGAUGUAAGAAUGGGGGCUUAUGGCAGAGUUUAUUUUGUAAUUGUCUGCCAAGUCCUUGGGUUUUCAUUUGUCUGACUUGGUGUUUAGGUUUAGAGUAACCCCUGGGAGUUUCUAACAUCCAUCAUACACUACAGAUGAUGAUGGGUAAAGUAAAAUCAUGUUAUCUACUCACUAGUUUGUUAUAUAUAUAUAUUUAUGAUGUUUUUAUUUAGUAAAAA